UACGUAGGGGGCAAGCGUUGUCCGGAUUUACUGGGCGUAAAGCGUGCGCAGGCGGUUGUGUAAGACAGAUGUGAAAUCCCCGGGCUCAACCUGGGAACUGCAUUUGUGACUGCACAGCUGGAGUGCGGCAGAGGGGGAUGGAAUUCCGCGUGUAGCAGUGAAAUGCGUAGAUAUGCGGAGGAACACCGAUGGCGAAGGCAAUCCCCUGGGCCUGCACUGACGCUCAUGCACGAAAGCGUGGGGAGCAAACAGG
rnacentral:rRNA from 1 species